UACGGAGGGUGCAAGCGUUGCUCGGAAUUAUUGGGCGUAAAGGGCAGGUAGGUGGUCUCAUUUGUCUGGGGUGAAAGCCUUGAGCUUAACUCAAGAAGUGCCCCAGAAACGGUGAGACUAGAGUUCUGGAGAGGGUCGUGGAAUUCCCGGUGUAGCGGUGAAAUGCGUAGAGAUCGGGAGGAACACCAGAGGCGAAAGCGGCUCUCUGGGACGGUACUGACGCUGAGACGCGAAAGCGUGGGGAGCGAACAGG
rnacentral:rRNA from 1 species